rnacentral:rRNA from 1 species
UUGGCUUAGAAGCAGCCAUCAUUUAAAGAAAGCGUAAUAGCUCACUGGUCGAGUCGGCCUGCGCGGAAGAUGUAACGGGGCUAAACCAUGCACCGAAGCUGCGGCAGCGACGCUGAUGCGUUGUUGGGUAGGGGAGCGUUCUGUAAGCCUGCGAAGGUGGCCUGUGAGGGUUGCUGGAGGUAUCAGAAGUGCGAAUGCUGACAUAAGUAACGAUAAAGCGGGUGAAAAGCCCGCUCGCCGGAAGACCAAGGGUUCCUGUCCAACGUUAAUCGGGGCAGGGUGAGUCGACCCCUAAGGCGAGGCCGAAAGGCGUAGUCGAUGGGAAACGGGUUAAUAUUCCCGUACUUGGUGUUACUGCGAAGGGGGGACGGAGAAGGCUAUGUUGGCCGGGCGACGGUUGUCCCGGUUUAAGCGUGUAGGUGUGUGUUCCAGGUAAAUCCGGUUCACUUUAACACUGAGGCGUGAUGACGAGGCACUACGGUGCUGAAGCAACAAAUGCCCUGCUUCCAGGAAAAGCCUCUAAGCAUCAGGUAACAUCAAAUCGUACCCCAAACCGACACAGGUGGUCAGGUAGAGAAUACCAAGGCGCUUGAGAGAACUCGGGUGAAGGAACUAGGCAAAAUGGUGCCGUAACUUCGGGAGAAGGCACGCUGACACGUAGGUGAAGUGAUUUACUCAUGGAGCUGAAGUCAGUCGAAGAUACCAGCUGGCUGCAACUGUUUAUUAAAAACACAGCACUGUGCAAACACGAAAGUGGACGUAUACGGUGUGACGCCUGCCCGGUGCCGGAAGGUUAAUUGAUGGGGUCAGCGCAAGCGAAGCUCCUGAUCGAAGCCCCGGUAAACGGCGGCCGUAACUAUAACGGUCCUAAGGUAGCGAAAUUCCUUGUCGGGUAAGUUCCGACCUGCACGAAUGGCGUAAUGAUGGCCAGGCUGUCUCCACCCGAGACUCAGUGAAAUUGAACUCGCUGUGAAGAUGCAGUGUACCCGCGGCAAGACGGAAAGACCCCGUGAACCUUUACUAUAGCUUGACACUGAACAUUGAGCCUUGAUGUGUAGGAUAGGUGGGAGGCUUUGAAGUGUGGACGCCAGUCUGCAUGGAGCCGGCCUUGAAAUACCACCCUUUAAUGUUUGAUGUUCUAACGUGGACCCGUGAUCCGGGUUGCGGACAGUGUCUGGUGGGUAGUUUGACUGGGGCGGUCUCCUCCUAAAGAGUAACGGAGGAGCACGAAGGUUGGCUAAUCCUGGUCGGACAUCAGGAGGUUAGUGCAAUGGCAUAAGCCAGCUUGACUGCGAGCGUGACGGCGCGAGCAGGUGCGAAAGCAGGUCAUAGUGAUCCGGUGGUUCUGAAUGGAAGGGCCAUCGCUCAACGGAUAAAAGGUACUCCGGGGAUAACAGGCUGAUACCGCCCAAGAGUUCAUAUCGACGGCGGUGUUUGGCACCUCGAUGUCGGCUCAUCACAUCCUGGGGCUGAAGUAGGUCCCAAGGGUAUGGCUGUUCGCCAUUUAAAGUGGUACGCGAGCUGGGUUUAGAACGUCGUGAGACAGUUCGGUCCCUAUCUGCCGUGGGCGCUGGAGAACUGAGGGGGGCUGCUCCUAGUACGAGAGGACCGGAGUGGACGCAUCACUGGUGUUCGGGUUGUCAUGCCAAUGGCACUGCCCGGUAGCUAAAUGCGGAAGAGAUAAGUGCUGAAAGCAUCUAAGCACGAAACUUGCCCCGAGAUGAGUUCUCCCUGAGACUUAGAGUCUCCUGAAGGAACGUUGAAGACGACGACGUUGAUAGGCCGGGUGUGUAAGCGCAGCGAUGCGUUGAGCUAACCGGUACUAAUGAACCGUGAGGCUUAACCUUACA